GAGCAAAGGCGCCAUAUAAGUGAUGAUCUUUGCAUUGAAGGUUGGCUACAACAAAAGUGUAGUUCUCCGUGCUGCUCAGAUUUCUAUCUGUUCUGUGACAUCCUCGAACAAGCUGCCACACC
rnacentral:snoRNA from 1 species